rnacentral:lncRNA from 1 species
CUGAACUGGGGCUUCCUCUGAAGAGAGGAAAGUUUUGCCUUCAAGGUGGAGGCAGGAAAAAGGGAAAUAUUACAAGAAGCAUGAAGAUAUGAGAAGAGGAACUAAUUUUGAAGCACCAGAAUGCUGUGAAUUGGCUGUAAAACAAUGUUGAAGAAACUCAACAUAGAACAGAAG